GCUGGGUGUGGUGGUGUGCACCUGUAAUCCCAGCUACUUGGGAGGCUGAGGCACAAGAAUCACUUGAACCCGGGAGGCCAAGGUUGCAGUGAGCCGAGACUGCACCACUGCACUCAAGCCUGAGUGACAGAGUGAGACCUUGUCUCAA
ensembl:misc_RNA Metazoa_SRP Metazoan signal recognition particle RNA